UGGUGUGCUCCCUGCCUGCCAGUCCCCGCCAGCACCCCCCUUUACCAUCUCAAGCUUCCUACCUCACAUCAGAACACGGGAAAGGUCCGUGAAGUGGGACUGAGCACUCCGGUGCCUCACAGAUUGUGCUUACCUUCAUACCAGCAAGAAUGAAAGAAGGAAAGGGCGGGGACAUGCGCCAGGCUUGCCCCCGAGUACCUGGACUACAGGAUAUGCUCAAUGAAUGUUUAUUGAAAGAAGCAAACUGCUCCAGUUUAUCUUGGCCUCUCCUAAAACAGCGAGACCUAAAGAGCACCCAUGCAUGGCUUGCCAAGGCAUAUAUGCAAGACCAUCGUGGACUUCUGGAGCUACUGGAUUCAAACGAACUGAGAAAGCCAGAGUGCUGAGACUUUACGAUACCUGGGCAUCUGCAGCAGAGUCAGAGUCCAGCAACCUCGACUCCACGCAGGACAGACUCUGCUGUGUGAUUCUCCUCUAGAACUCCUGCACACCUCGGAUCAGGCUGAGACUGAAAGCUAUCCCUCUUGCUGUACCCUCUCAUACCAAUUUCCCCAGGAGCACUUUUUUUUUUCUUUUUUCUUACAAUAACCUUUUUACUUUAGAGUACAUUUUGAUUUACAGAAAAUUUUCAGAUAGUACAAUAUACUGUACUUCCUAUAUGUGGGAUUCCCAUAUACCCCAUAUCCAAUUUAGACUACAUAAAAAAUAAACAGAAACCUUAACUGAAUAGAGUUGAGAAACCAGAAGGAAAAGCUCUCAUGCCCUGUGACUAUAGCAGAGUUCAACAGGAAGAAGAAAGACUCCUCUUCUCAUCUGGCAAGGACUCAAUCAGUGAAAAGCCAUGGAGUCUUUGUUUAUUUCCUUGGUAGCUCAGCUGACAGAGAAGCUUCCUGCAAUGCAGGAGACCUCGACCCAAUCCCUGGGUUAAGAAGAUCCCCUGGAGAAGGGAACGGCUACCCG
ensembl:lncRNA